rnacentral:tRNA from 1 species
GCCUGGGUGGCUAGUCGGUUAAGCAUCUGACUUCGGCUCAGGUCAUGAUCUCAUGGUUCGUGAGUUCAAGUCCCGCAUCAGGCU